CUACCAGAUUCCUGAAGACAUCACAGGAGAGACAGCAAGAUUUUAAAGUAAAUUUUCCAUUUGGGUAAAAUGGCAAAAGCUAGAGGAGGUAAGCUCACAAUACAUACUGUAAAGUUAAAACAUGUAUCAUACAGCGUUAUACAACAAAAGUAAAAUACAACUGAAAAAUUGCGCUUAAUAAUUUCAGUUAAUAUUCUGAAAUAUUGUUCUUUAUUAUUGUUUAUAAUUCUGAAAAUAUUUCCACAAUAUUUAUAAUUUAUUGUGUAGUUUUAGAUUCUCUCUGAAUUUGAAGCAUCAUAUCUUUCUGAUCACAUCAUCACUGUCAUUAUAUAUCACCUAGAAGUAUGAGAAGAUGCUUAAAGUUACAGCUUUACAUCUGAAAGCUCCGACACUGGAGACUCCUUCCACACAUGUUAAAUAAACAUGUUUAUCGUAUCAAAAUUUUGCUCACGGUUUUUAAUCCGUUGAUGUGAAGUGUCCUCUGUACAAGUUCAUGUUAACGCACUGUAGCUAUUUGUAAUGAUAUCAUAUUAGAACAAGUCCUUUACUAUAAUCCUGAGCUACUGUCAGAGCUGCUGUUAUAGAUAAUUAAAGAAUUAAAUGAUCGCAUUCCUAAAGAUGAAGCCAAAGCUGAGGCUGGUGUAGGAUGAGUUGGAGCAGCGCGGAGCAUAUUUGCUGUCGAAUCUAACGGUCCAAAGGCUUCUGCCGAGGCUACGGCUGAUGGCCUGGAAGCAGGAGCCAUGGCUAGAGCAGAGCUUGGAAGUGUAUCAGCUGCAGCUGGUCCAGUAGAAGCAAAGCUGGGUUUGGGGAUUGACACUGGUGUGAGUGUUAGCCCAACUAAAAUAGAAGCAAAGUUUCUAGGGACUGGAGUGACUUUGGGCAGCACAAUGGGAAUUUCACUUUUUGGAAGUGAGUUUAAAAUUAAACUUUUUUGAAGUUAAACUGGAUUAAUUUACUCUAAGAUUUUGCAUAUGAUUAAUAAGCUAAAGUAUGAAUUCUAGCACUUACUGUAAUCCUAACAGUUCAUAAUGUAAGCAUGUGAGAUUAUUGAUGACUGAAAAUGGUUUCUGUGAUCUUUCCAAUAUUCAUUACCAUGUUAUAUUUUUUUCAAUACCAUGAUCAUUAUAACCUUUAGUAAGUGAUCCUUUUGUUUCUUGUAAGUGAUCGAACCUGUAACAUCUGUUCUCAAUUGAUUCAAGCAUGUGUAUGAUAAUCCUGUGUGUCUAAUAGAGCAUCAUAUUCAAACAGGUUCAUGUUAUGGAUUAAACAACUAACCUUAAAAUUGUUAACACGAACUACAGCCAAGACACAAAUGAGCUAUAAACUGGUUGUACUUCUCAGUCUUCAUUCAUCAUAUCUCUGAAUCACAACAUUUGUAAAUCCUCCAACCACAAGCUAUGGUUAAAGUUACAGAAAUCACUCUC